rnacentral:misc_RNA from 1 species
AUGGCUUGGUGAUGAUUUUGGCAUGGCAGAUCCUCAAGGUCUGCCUGGUCUUAGCUUAAUCCAAUGGAUGAACAUGCAGAAGAAUCCUUCUUUGGCUAACCCGAUGAUCCCCAACUAUAUGAAUUCCCUAUCUGGUUCUGCUCUACAAAACCUUGCUGGAGCAGACCUAUCACGCCAGUUAGGUAUGGCAGCACCGCAAUUUCAG